CGGUUGUUUGACUCACGUGAUAUAGUUCUUGCUUGUUGGUGACGUGAAUGAAACCCUAAAGUGACGGCCAAAACAUCAAAUAGAACAAGCAGAUCGUUGAGGAACUCAAGGUCAAAAGCUAGACCUACUUUGGACAGCAAUUCGGUCUCAUUUUGUGCUGGGGUUAUUGCAAGGAAUUCCUCUGAAUUCGUUUGGUGUGUCAACCUGUGUGUGGUGCUGUCUAGACCGUCUGCUUGCAAAAAGAGCAUUUGAAUAUUGAAAUCAUGGGCUGAAAAUGGAGAGAGGACAAUGGUAUGGCGGAAUUUAACCGUAAUAGAUUGAAAAAGGAGGUUAGCACGACGAAACAGCAUGUCUUCUGUCAAAGUAUCGGUUCGAGUUCGGCCUUUCAACGGUCGAGAAAAUCUACGACAGUGCAAGUGUAUAAUCGGAAUGCACGGGCCUACAACAACAAUUUUGAAUCCAAAGAACCUGAGUGAGAAGCCAAAGAGUUUUACAUAUGAUUACUCGUACUGGUCACACAACCAGGAUGAUCCCCAAUUUGCAAACCAGCAGCAGGUUUAUUCAGAUAUUGGCAAAGAAAUGCUAGAACAUGCAUUUGAAGGGUACAAUGUGUGCAUAUUUGCCUAUGGCCAGACAGGGGCUGGUAAAUCUUACACCAUGAUGGGCAAACUGGAACAGGCGGGGCAAAAAGGGAUAAUUCCACAGAUUUGUGAGGAACUAUUCCAGAAAGUGGAGGCAGAAACUAAUGAUGAAAUGACAUUUUCUGUAGAGGUCAGUUAUUUGGAGAUUUAUUGUGAGCAUGUCAGGGAUUUGCUGAGACCAUCAGCCAAGAGCAACCUGAGAGUCAGAGAACACCCUGUGCUUGGCCCUUAUGUUGAAGAUCUCUCAAAACUGGCCGUCACAACUUUUGAUGACAUAAAUGAUUUGAUUGAUGAGGGCAACAAGGCAAGAACUGUUGCAGCCACUAACAUGAAUGAGACGAGCAGCCGAUCCCAUGCUAUCUUUAGUAUUAUUUUCACACAAAGAAAACAUGAUGAAUUAAGUUCGCUUACUACAGAAAAGGUCAGUAAGCUGAGCCUGGUUGAUUUGGCUGGAAGCGAAAGAGCUGAUUCUACAGGAAACAAAGGAGAGCGAUUAAAAGAGGGCGCUAACAUCAACAAAUCUCUUACGACACUUGGGAAGGUCAUAUCUGCUCUUGCUGAACAGUCUUCACAUCAUCACAAGAAAAAGAGAAGAUCGGAUUUUAUUCCGUACCGUGAUUCCACUCUUACAUGGCUUCUCAAGGAAAACCUAGGUGGGAACUCCAAGACUGCAAUGAUAGCAGCUGUCAGCCCAGCAGAUAUCAACUACGAAGAAACCCUAAGCACCCUCAGGUACGCGGAUCGAGCAAAACACAUCAUGUGUAAAGCAAUAGUGAAUGAGGAUCCUAAUGCCAAGGUUAUCAGGGAACUCAAGCAAGAGGUUUUACGUCUAAAAGAGAUCUUGUUAUCUGAAGGUUAUGCCGUCGAUCAGCUCAAUUCCAUUCUUGCGAAUCCAGUUCAGCAAAUGCGCCGCACAAGUCAGGAUGGCACCACACUUGAAAGACUCCAGGCGUCAGAAAAGCUUAUUGCAGAGUUGAAUGAGACUUGGGAAGAGAAGCUGCGAAAAACAGAGGCUAUAAAACAAGAGCGUGAGGCGAUGCUGGUGGAAAUGGGCGUGGCUAUAGGGGUUGAUGGACACACGGUUGGACUUUUUCAGCCCAAAAAGAGACCUCACUUAGUUAAUUUGAACGAGGAUCCCUUGAUGUCGGAGUGUUUGUUAUAUUACAUCAAAGACGGGGUCACAAAGGUCGGUAGCGCCGCGGCCAGUAACCAUCAAGACAUCCAGCUUAGCGGUACCAACAUCCUGAACGAACACUGUGUUUUUAACUACGAGCAUGAUAUUGUGCGUAUUUUUCCUUGCGAGGAAAGCCAGACGUUUGUCAACGGCAAGCUUAUUACGGAAUGCACCCCGCUUACGUCAGGCGAUCGGAUCAUCCUUGGUAACAACCACGUGUUCCGAUUCAACUAUCCACACCAAGUCUUAACCGAGCGAAUAAGAAAGUCACGUGACAACGUCAAUGCAGAGUCGACAGCAGUCCCUCGCGGCGAGUGCAGUGAGUGCGAUCAGCCGGUGGACUGGUCCUUCGCCGUGCUUGAGCUGCUGAGAGAGCAGGGCUACAUGAAGGAGAUGAAUGACAGAGUACUUGAGCUUGAGGAGAGGAUUCGUCAGGAGAAGGAUCAGGCGACGGUGCUACUAGAGCAGCAGAGACAGACUUAUGAGAGCAAACUUCAAGAACUUCAAAGACAGGUGGAUUUGUCCUCGUUUCCAUCCAGCGAUUUCGACAGCGAUCUCGAGAACGCGAGUUAUGAAAGCGAGAGUCCGCUGACCGAGCGCGAGAUGAAUCUGGCGGCGUCAGUGAUAGAAAAGUGGCGAUCUUUCGUAUAUACUUCUCUGAGGGAUGACAUUCUUAGCCACGGGGUGCUCUUGAAAGAAGCUAACGCCAUCAGUGUAGAGUUAAAGAAAAAGGUGGAGUUCCAGUUUAUGCUAUUAUCGGACACGCUGUUCACGCCAAUGCCAGAUAGCUUCAAGCCUGAGCUAGGCGACCGCUCUACAGCGGUGGCCGUGGAGGUCCGGGACGAGAAGAAUGGUGCAACGCAUCAUUGGACACUAAAGAAGCUCAGGGAGCGCUUAGCUGACAUGCGGUACAUGUAUGAGACUGAGGCGGACACGUCAAUCAACGUCACAUUCGAGUCGGGAGAUCCCUUUUAUGACGACUUCCCAUGGUUUAAGCUGGUAGGCAGGUCUCUGGUGUAUCUGAGUAAUCUUGUCUAUGGUGCGCACCUAGAACAGACCACGCCCAUCAUCAGUGACUCAGGACGGGUACAGGGUCACAUUCUCAUCCUCACUCGGCCUUGUACAGAUACUGAAAGUGACAGUGAGGACGUCAGCGGACGCGCAUGCGUAAUGUGGUUAGACUUUAACGAGGAGGACAAAGAACAGGCACGGAAUGAAGAUUGGGGUGAGUCACGUGACUCGGGAGUGCCUUACUCCAAAGGAGUCUUGAGCGUGGGCUCACCUUUUGUGUUCAGCGUAACUGUCGUACGAGCAGCUGGGCUCCCUGUGGAUUUCUCCGAUAUCUUCUGCCAAAUAAGGUUUUUGAACUGUUCCGAAGAUGUUGGUUUCUCCACUGAACCGGUUUGCGCGUCAAGAGAGGGUGUCUUGGAAUUCAACUUUACUCAAAAGGUUGGGAUUCUGGUCUCCCGAGAGUUUAUCGAUUAUAUCAGCACCAGGCCCUUACAGGUCGAAGUGUUUGGUCACUAUAGCAACCAUCCUCAACACCAGGCCAGCAUCAGCAUGUCAAGACCGAUUCCCCGUACACUGUCAGACGCUGAUCGAAUCCCAAGACAUGGAUAUGCUGUUCCGGCUCCAAUUUCUGCAAAGGAGGAGCCGCUGAGCCUGCAUUUCGACUUCGUCGUGUGGAUAGAAAUCUUCGAACUAUCUCCAUCUGGCGAGUAUUUCCCCUGUGUUGUCAAGAGGAAGGGAGAUGAUCUUCCAGAAUCCAUUUUCCUUUUACAUCAAGGAAUCCAGAGAAGACUGGUUGUGACGCUAAUGUACGAGAACUCCACUGACAUCCGAAUUAGACGGCUGACCAGCCUUACAAUGGGGCGUGUUCGUACAUCCCUACACCCGCCAACAUCCGGGAAUAGCAGCAAAUCACAUGACAACUUGCUGUCACUCAACGUUCUAUCGCCUCAGAUCCAGUCCCAUCCCAACGACGAUCGCGCGAUAUUUAAAUUUGAGGCGGCCUGGGACUCCUCACUGCACAACUCCAUUUUAUUGAACAGGGUGACGCCUCCUGGCGAAGUUGUGUACGUAACGUUAAAAGCAUACCUCGAGAUGGAUAACUGUUGUCGGCCCACGUGUCUGACUAAGGAACUUUGUCUGGCUGUUUAUAACAGAGACUCCAAGACAAGCCCUUCCAGGUCAAUGUGGAGAGUCUUGACAGGUUCCUCGAAGCCUGCAUGUUAUAAGUAUGGUGGCAUUUAUGAGCUGAAUCUUCAUGCUGCUGACGAGACUGGGCAUGCCCUAAGGCCCCGUAAGAAGGCCGUGGACACGUCCAAUAUGUAUGUACGAGGAGAAGAGAAUCUCAAGGGGUGGAGACCCAAGGGGCCCUCACUGAUAGAUGAACACCAGAAACAGCUUGAUAGAUUCGACAGAAUUUUAGAGGUUUGCAAAGCCCGUCACAUCCUUAGCCUCGCUGACAAUCUCAGAUCCUCCCCCACUUCCAGCCCGGCCACGCCCAAUCUUCAAGAACUCUUCUCCCCCUCGAGCUGCGACUCAGGUGGCCUCAGUCGCUACUCUCUAGCGUCCUCCUGCUUGUCUGUUUGUCCGCUCUCGGUAGGCAAUUCCCCAGAACAGUAUAACAAAGCCUGUCCUGACCAGCAGUCCCUCGUCACAAAGUGUCUUCAGCUGUUGACGAGAAGGGGAUGCAUGAAAAACUUCGAACAAAUUAUUGGGAGCUCUCCUGCUUCAAGCUCAAGAAGUCUCAGUUCAGCCGACGAUGACCGUCGAGCUGACCUGUACUUGCCAGACAUGCGGGAAGUGCGGAAAAAUCCCGUUGUAUCCAGCAAAGGCUAUCUGUACAUCAUGGAGGACAAUUCUUGUCGAUGGAAGCGCUGCUAUGUGGUUGUGCGGAAGCCCUACGUCCUUUUCUACACCCACGAACACGAUCCGAUUGAAUAUUUUGUCAUCAAUCUACGAAAUGCCAAAGUGGACUGCUCUGAAGACAUGGCCAAACAAUCGGACUCGUCAAGGACGCUUCCUUUUACAGACUCAAUCCGAUAGGGAGGAUGAGGUCCAUGAAUGGUUGUACGCUCUCGACCCCUUACUAAUGGGGACCAUAAGGUCUAAGCGGUCCAGUCUUCGACGAGGAGCUAGGUAACAUCUAGGCAACAGGUAAAACAACUACUCCAACAAGAUUCUAAUCCGUGGUCAGCAAAUAGUUCUUAUUUAAAAAACGCCGACCAGCCACUCUUGUUAUUGUUUACUUCGAGAAAUACAACAGUCUAUUUGCAAGAUAGUAACCAUGCAAAUAACCAUCCAAAGUAGUCCGAUAUCGAGUUAGCACAUUGGAUUAAAAGUAUCUUAAAGUUUAUCGCUUGAAUUAGCCGAUGGAAAUGGAUUCUUUGUGUGACUUGGGAUUUUGCAGAAGUGUAAAAUGGCGGCUUGAUUGGCCUUCACUUACCAUUUUGAGCCCCCUCCCCAAGAAUAAAUAGAUUUAUUGAACAUUAUAACAGUCCAUGCAUCUUCUAAGAACCUACUUGUUCUAAGAACCGACUUGUACAUUUCAGGUUUAGUUGCGCGGACUGUGCCCUGGCAUAGCAGCAUAUAGGCUACACUGUAACUUUCGGGGAAAAAUAGAAUCUUACAAUUAAUAUUAUUCCUGUUAAAGGAAUAUUCAAAGAGUAUUAAGGAAUUUUCAAUUGUUUCAUUAGAAAAGUUUAAUUAAACAUCUUUUUAAGAAAAAAUUGAUAGGUAUUUAUUGUAUUAUAACAUUUGAUGGAUACAUUUAUAAUCUAGUGUGUAUUUUUGUAUCAAAAAUGCUUACAAAUAUUUCCCAAAUUUAAAACGGGAAAGUUAAAAUAUUAGGUGUUAUGGAAGGUGUCUAAAAUAAUUUGCAAUAAAGAAUUAAGCGAGUGUA